ACAGUGUAGUUGCAAAAGUGAGAAUAGGUUGGGGGUACCGAUGCAGAGUCCCUGGGGGAGAGGCCAUCUCUCAAAGAUGUGAAGAUAAAACCUGGAUUGGAUUGGAGACCCCAAGAUGUUGGAGAUACCAAAACCCUGAAUUACCCACUGAGGAGAGUUGCAGACCAGGUGACCCAGCCACAGAUGCCUCUCCAGAGCCUGAGCGAGUCUGCUUUAUGUCUAGCCUCCCCAAACACAAUGCCUCUUUUCUUUACAAAGCUACCCCAUCUUCAUUUCAGCAAUAGAAACCUUGUGAGUACAAUUACUUUCUAAUGAACACCAAAUUCCAUGGCCAGAAGUAGAACAAGCAAACAAGCAAGGAUGCAUGCAUUUCUUCUCUGUUCUUGACUGUGAUGUGACAUUCUAAUUCCUUCCUUGACUUCGCCACAACAAUGGACUGUAACCUGGAACUGUAAGCCACAUAAACCCUUCUUUCCCUAAGUUGCUUUUUGUCAGGGUGGUUAAGCACAGCAAUGGAAAUGAAACUAGAACAGGUGAAUUCCUAGUUCAUCGAGAGACCCUGUCUUGAAAAAUAAGGACAGUGAUGGAGGUAGACACUGAAAUCUAUGAAAUCUAUUUACACACACACACACACACACACACACACACACACACACCAGAAUAAACAAAUACAUGACCCUAUUCCAUCCCAUCUCGUGAUGGAUUAUGGGAAGGAACCAAAGGCAUCAAAGACUGAAGAAGUUCCUAACAGCUUGUUCAUUUCCUCAUCCUCUGGUCAACCUCAGAUCUGGCACCACCCUCACCUGUGUUUUUCUACAUCUUUCUGCUUACAACUGUAUUUCCUAUCUCUAUAUUCAGAUGACACCAAAUUCCAUGGCCAGAAGCAGAAGCCCCUUGGGAUGGUUUGUAUGUGCUCUGCCCAGGAGUGGCACUAUUAGGAGGUAUGGCCUUGUUGGAGUUGAUAUGGCCCUGUUGGAGUAGGUGUGUCACUGUGGGUGUGGGUUUUAAGACCCUCAUUCUAGCUGCCUGGAAGUCAGUAUUCUCCUAUCAGCCUUCAGAUGAAGAUGUAGAACUCUCAGCUCCUCCUGCACCAUGCCUGCCUGGAUGCUGUCAUGUUCUCACCUUGAUGAUAACAGACUGAACUCUGUACCUGUAAGCCAGCCCUACUUAAAUGUUGUUCUUAUAAGAGUUGCCUUAGUCAUGGUGUCUGUUCACAGCAAUAAAACCCUAAAUAAGGCACCCCUAAAAUUCUAAACACAGCUGGGAAAACAUUCUAGAAUAUUUGCAUAUGGCAGUGAAUACCCUACUUCUAAGCCAAACUCAAUCACUGGCAGGGAGAACUGGCAGCAUGAGGCUGGUAGAAGACUAAGUUACAUGAUGAUAGAAUCACAUUUAAUAAAAGCCAAGGAGCACCUGAGUUCACGUGGUGGGAUUGGAGGUGCAGGGAAAAGACCAGUAGCCAGGCAGAGGUGGGACUGGAGUCUUGGAGGGAUGCUCCCUAAGGAACUGGAAGUUCUGUGAGUUCUGGAGGGAUCUCUGCUUAGCCAGAAGUCCAAUUCAUUCCACAAAUAUUCCUUUGCCUGUAGUCUAGACACAAGACUAACUACAAAGAGAAGAACCAGGGAUGGCUUAAGGCAAGGCAGACAUUCAUUCCUGAAUAUUGUCCCCAGGAAAAGACAGAUUCCAAGUAUUUUACAUUGAAAAUUUUCUCUUCCUUCCUUCCCCCUUCCCUCCCACUUCUCUCUUCUUUUAGCUUUUCUCUUCUUUUUCUUCAUUCUUUCCUUCCCUUCUCCUCCUCAUUAACCAUUAUUACCAUCAUCAUCAUCUGCAUCAUCAAUACCUUUUCUUUGAUAGUGUGGGCUAUUAAAUCCAGGGCUUUGUUCAUGCUAGGCAGGCGUCUACAACUGAGCUACAUCCCCACACUCCCCAAGUCUUCCUUUUUUAGAACAGUCUCACUGUGCAGCAUCGCAGCUCUCUCUGUAGAACAGGCUGUCCUCAAAUCUGUCAAGCUGUGCCUUCUGAAUGCUGGGAGGGACUGAAGGUGUGCACCACUGUGCUUGCCCUGUUUCUGUUUACCCACUUAUUAAGAAACGACAAGUGCCAGGGAAGAUGCCUUUGCAUGGAAUGACCCCCACUGAUGCUCAUUUGUAUGUUCAUACCGGCCUUCCAACAUCAACAGUGAAGAAAAUACACAAAGAGGUUUGAAUACAGAUUCAGUACGUUUCCUGGGGAUAUGGCCUCAUGGAGAAAACGGCUGUAUGUUUUUUUUGUAAACAAAACGUUUAAAGAUUGGCUUAAAACUCGAGCUCUGCAGAUAAGUACAUACCUACCAGGAAGC
ensembl:lincRNA 9130221F21Rik RIKEN cDNA 9130221F21 gene